AGCGGCGGACGGGUGAGUAACGCGUAGGAAUCUACCUAGUAGAAGGGGAUAGCCCGGGGAAACUCGGAUUAAUACCGUAUACCUCCUUAGGGAGAAAGAGGGCCUCUCUUUGAUGCUUUCGCUACUAGAUGAGCCUGCGUAAGAUUAGCUAGUUGGUGAGGUAAUGGCUCACCAAGGCGACGAUCUUUAGCUGGUCUGAGAGGACGAUCAGCCACAUUGGGACUGAGACACGGCCCAGACUCCUACGGGAGGCAGCAGUAGGGAAUAUUGGACAAUGAGCGCAAGCUUGAUCCAGCCAUACCGCGUGUGUGAAGAAGGCCUUCGGGUUGUAAAGCACUUUAAGCAGGGAGAAAAAGUUAUAGGUUAAUACCCUAUGACCGUGAUGUUACCUGCAGAAUAAGCACCGGCUAAUUCCGUGCCAGCAGCCGCGGUAAUACGGAAGGUGCAAGCGUUAAUCGGAAUUACUGGGCGUAAAGCGCGCGUAGGUGGUUUGUUAAGUUGGAUGUGAAAGCCCUGGGCUCAACCUAGGAACUGCAUCCAAAACUAACUCACUAGAGUACGAUAGAGGGAGGUAGAAUUCAUAGUGUAGCGGUGGAAUGCGUAGAUAUUAUGAAGAAUACCAGUGGCGAAGGCGGCCUCCUGGAUCUGUACUGA
rnacentral:rRNA from 1 species